rnacentral:rRNA from 1 species
AGGAUUAACGCUGGCGGCGUGCCUAACACAUGCAAGUCGAACGAGGUAGCAAUACCUAGUGGCAGACGGGUGAGUAACGCGUGGUCAACCUACCGUUGAGUGGGGGAUAACUAGCCGAAAGGUUAGCUAAUACCGCAUACGAGUUUCGGGGGCAUCCCUGAUUCUUAAAAGGAGCAAUCCGCUCGAUGACGGGACCGCGUCCCAUUAGCUAGAUGGUGGGGUAACGGCCUACCAUGGCACCGAUGGGUAGCUGGUUUGAGAGAGCGACCAGCCACACUGGGACUGAGAAACGGCCCAGACUCCUACGGGAGGCAGCAGUGAGGAAUUUUCCGCAAUGGGCGAAAGCCUGACGGAGCGACGCCGCGUGUGGGAAGAAGGUUUUCGGAUCGUAAACUGCUUUCUCGGGGAAGAGAACGGACGGUACCCGAGGAAUCGAGCCCCGGCUAACUACGUGCCAGCAGCCGC